GGGGUCGUGGGGUAGCUUGGCCUAUCCUUCUGGCUUUGGGAGCCAGAGACCCGAGUUCAAAUCUCGGCGACCCCACCA
rnacentral:tRNA from 1 species